rnacentral:lncRNA from 1 species
GAUUACCUUGAUCAUAAUAAAAUAAAGAUCAAAUUCUCAAAGGUUGCUUGAAUUCGAUGCCUCACGAGGUCUGAAAGCACAGGCCCUCUACUUCGCAUGCACGUCAGGCUCUGUAGGGAAGAGGAAUGAUUCCUUUUGCACCAAUCCUUCAAAAAGGCAGCAAAAGAGAGAGAAAAUCUUGAUCUUGGAUGCGACCCUUUACGCCAAGAUCUUGGACGC